GUAGUGAUAUGUUUCUGAAAUGAGUUGCUGGGACUUGAAAUGAAUAGCAGAUGCUGCUGAAGUUUCUACAAUGGUGCUGUGGUAUCCAUGUAGUGGAUUUAUGAGCUGGUCCACAAGGCAGGUUAAAUCUGGUAGCUAUCCAUUGUGAAGUUGUGAAUAAUCAGUCAUCAUUUUGGUUUGUAGAAUUUUGAUCUCCGGACAAAAGAGAAUUCAUAAGUCCGAGUUGAAAUGGAGACGUUUUCCUUGGUAAUUUCAUUGUCAGUGGCUGUGCUGUGUCUGCACAAUUAUGGUUCUUUUGCAACAUAUCCUAGUUUUGAUUACAUAAUGAAAGGUUAUAUUAUUGAUGUUUUUUAUCAAGAUAAAGAACUGGAGCCAGACAUUGACUAUAGGGUGCGCUGUUACAUAGCCAUGUAUCAUGAUAUCUCAAUGGAAACAAACAUAACGCAAUACAAUGAUUUAUUUCAUGAAUGUAUAUUCUAUGAGGUUUGCCUGUAUGCGGAAAUGUUGAAGACCCAAAACAGAAGAGUUCACUUUUGGGCAUUGAAGAGUGUUAAUCCUUCAAAUCCCAAUGCCAAUCCUUAUGUAGUUGGUAUUGAGUAUGCUGAUACACCAACUAGGUUUGCGUAUGAUGAUGAAACGUGAUUUAUACGUCAAUAUUUUGAAAAAUGGAACAUAUGCUUCAUUUGUUUAUAAAUCUUGGACAAUGACAUUAGCUGUCAAAACAAGUCCAAAUCAUGUAAUUUUCAUUUGUUUAAAAGUGGGAAUAAAAGUAUAUGUAUUUUUAUUUUUUUAUGAAUACAGUGAGUUUUUUCAAAGUAAACAGUACUCUUUAAUCUUAUUUGUUUUUUUUUUCAGUUGGAUAGUAUUCACUCAUUUAUCCAACCAUUGUUAGUAGGUAAUGUUAUAUGUGAUUUCCAACUACAUAGUACAUACAUAAGUUCUUGUACACCACUGAGGCGAAUGACAUAUUUUAUUUUGCCUCAUCACCUUUUUGAUUAUGGGAAGGAAUACCUGCUUGAUAAGGAUUGGGUCCAUAUGUAUGUUAAACUCAAAUUUUGAACUUUUUCAGUUUUAAAGUUGUACAUAUAUGUUAGCCCUCCCUCCAUCUUCUAAAAAAAGUAAACUUUCAAUGAUUUGUUCCUUCUGUGAACAGCUGAGUGUAUUUGUUUGCCAAAUCCUCACCAAAACCGUCUUCAUUGCUCAUGGCUUGAGUGGUCCAGAAGUAUGAAUGAUGAUCAAUUUCAAUAAUCUUGAUUUGAAUCUGAAGAUAUAUUGUCAUCAUGUUUACAUUAACCAUAGCAGCAUCGUUCCGUGACAUCUCACACUUAGGGUUCUUGAGCUCAUCUUUAAUUUAAUUUGUACCAAGAACCAGUGUUGAUACUGAUGAACCUCUAUUGGGAAAACAUAUAUUCCAAAUGAGGAUUUUCUUGAAUAAUAACCGAAAUAUGAAGGUCCUUCAUAUUAUCUUCCAAAUGGUAAAUCUAUGAAAUCAUUA